CUUCCUGUUGUCAUGUGAAGGACAUGUUUGCUUCCCCUUCCACCGUGAUUGUAAGUUUCCUAAGGCCUCCCCAGCCAUGCUGAACUGAUUAUAGGACUGUGUAUGUCCUACACACACAUCGUAUGUCUUACACACACAGUGAUGAGGAGUGACAAAAUGAAGACUCCAGAAUCCUCUUUAUCAGAUCCUGAAUGUGCACUUUCUGAAGUGAAGUCCACUAUGUGCUAGGCACACAGAGAAUAGAGCAUGAAACAAAAGCAACAUGACACUGCCCUCACCAAGACUACAGGGAGUGAUGGAGCAUACAACUUUGUUUCAGAAUGCAAUUCAGAUCUUUCCUUUUGCAUGGCUUCUUAAAACUUCUUUUGAGGAUGGUAAAAUUUCAUGUUAUAUUAAAUUUCAUGCUGUAACUGAUACUCUGGGAUGAUGUUGGCCAAUAACUAGCAAGACUUGAAAUAAUCAACUAGUUUAGGCAUUGCUUAGCACACUCCAGCUGACUUCACAAGUAAAAACAUGUGAAGAAAGAAGGUUUUCAGAUAACACAGAUGGAGGUGGUGAUCUUUCUCAUUUUGUGGAAUAUAUUAAUUUCUCAUUUUUUAUUCACUGACAAUUAGUAAAAUUCCUUACUCUACCUAAUAUGUAGACUUCUGAACUAUGUAACUAAAACUUUAUAGUAAUG
rnacentral:antisense_RNA from 1 species